rnacentral:rRNA from 1 species
UACAGAGGGGGCAAGCGUUGUUCGGAAUUACUGGGCGUAAAGGGCGCGUAGGCGGUCUUCUAAGUCGAACGUGAAAUCCCCGGGCUCAACCCGGGAACUGCGUCCGAUACUGGAAGGCUUGAAUCCGGGAGAGGGAUGCGGAAUUCCAGGUGUAGCGGUGAAAUGCGUAGAUAUCAAGUGGAACACCAGUGGCGAAGGCGAGUCCCUGGACAAUUCCUGACACUGAGGCACGAAAGCUAGGGGAGCAAACAGG